GACGAACGCUGGCGGCGUGCCUAAUACAUGCAAGUAGAACGCUGAAGAGAGGAGCUUGCUCUUCUUGGAUGAGUUGCGAACGGGUGAGUAACGCGUAGGUAACCUGCCUUGUAGCGGGGGAUAACUAUUGGAAACGAUAGCUAAUACCGCAUAACAAUGGAUGACACAUGUCAUUUAUUUGAAAGGGGCAAUUGCUCCACUACAAGAUGGACCUGCGUUGUAUUAGCUAGUAGGUGAGGUAAUGGCUCACCUAGGCGACGAUACAUAGCCGACCUGAGAGGGUGAUCGGCCACACUGGGAAUGGGACACGGCCCAGACUCCUACGGGAGGCAGCAGUAGGGAAUCUUCGGCAAUGGGGGCAACCCUGACCGAGCAACGCCGCGUGAGUGAAGAAGGUUUUCGGAUCGUAAAGCUCUGUUGUAAGUCAAGAACGGGUGUGAGAGUGGAAAGUUCACACUGUGACGGUAGCUUACCAGAAAGGGACGGCUAACUACGUG
rnacentral:rRNA from 1 species